GAUGAACGCUGGCGGCGUGCUUAACACAUGCAAGUCGAACGGGAUCCCAGGAGCUUGCUCCUGGGUGAGAGUGGCGAACGGGUGAGUAAUGCGUGACCGACCUGCCCCAUACACCGGAAUAGCUCCUGGAAACGGGUGGUAAUGCCGGAUGCUCCAGUUGACCGCAUGGUCCUCUGGGAAAGCUUUUGCGGUAUGGGAUGGGGUCGCGUCCUAUCAGCUUGAUGGCGGGGUAACGGCCCACCAUGGCUUCGACGGGUAGCCGGCCUGAGAGGGCGACCGGCCACAUUGGGACUGAGAUACGGCCCAGACUCCUACGGGAGGCAGCAGUGGGGAAUAUUGCACAAUGGGCGCAAGCCUGAUGCAGCGACGCCGCGUGCGGGAUGACGGCCUUCGGGUUGUAAACCGCUUUUGACUGGGAGCAAGCCCUUCGGGGUGAGUGU
rnacentral:rRNA from 1 species